AUUGAACGCUGGCGGCAGGCCUAACACAUGCAAGUCGAGCGGUUGAAGGGAGCUUGCUCCCUGAUUCAGCGGCGGACGGGUGAGUAAUGCCUAGGAAUCUGCCUAUUAGUGGGGGACAACGUUUCGAAAGGAACGCUAAUACCGCAUACGUCCUACGGGAGAAAGCAGGGGACCUUCGGGCCUUGCGCUAAUAGAUGAGCCUAGGUCGGAUUAGCUUGUUGGUGAGGUAAUGGCUCACCAAGGCGACAAUCCGUAACUGGUCUGAGAGGAUGAUCAGUCACACUGGAACUGAGACACGGUCCAGACUCCUACGGGAGGCAGCAGUGGGGAAUAUUGGACAAUGGGCGAAAGCCUGAUCCAGCCAUGCCGCGUGUGCGAAGAAGGUCUUCGGAUUGCAAAGCACUUUAAGUUGGGAGGAAGGGUUGUAGAUUAAUACUCUGCAAUUUUGACGUUACCGACAGAAUAAGCACCGGCUAACUCUGUGCCAGCCGCCGCGGUAAAAC
rnacentral:rRNA from 1 species